GAACUGAAGGACCGCGAGGCAGCCGGCUUGAGGGGCGGAAAGGGGAGGAGCCGCGGGGCGGGGCGGGCGGCCCACGCUCCCAGGAGCGCCUGGGAGGGAGAAGGAGCGGGAGCGAGGGCGGAGCCCUAGGUCCGCUCGCGGGGAGGCGGGGCGCGGAUAAAACUCGGCGGGAAGUUUCCUCGCGGCCCCGCCUUCCGGCCUGGAACAGUGCCUCCCUCGGGGACGGGCCCGGGCGGAGAGGCCGCGGCGCUCGGUCACCCCGCCUGUCGGACCCCGGUGACUCCCCCGCUCGAGACCCGCCGCUCGGCUGCGCGCGGGAAAACGUGUGAGCGCUCCCGCCGAGCAGGCCUCAGCAGCGCGCCCGGCAGGACGGCGGGCAGCGCCGCGCCUCGGGUCCGCCGCGGCGUCUCAGGAGCGGAGCCCUCGCCUUUGGGACCAGCGCUUUGAAGCCCUUGGGCAACUUCAGUGACGACGCCCACUCCUGAUUUCCUGGAUCGAAGCGCCCUUUCGGGCGAGUUUUCUGUCUGGGGAUUUGCUAGUGUGCGAUCUGAUGUCAUGUGUUUUCUGGCUCUUCCACAAAGUUAAAAUGAUCAUGAAAGGUCAAUGCUUUUAUCUGAUUCAGGACAUCGAGGCAACCACACAGCACAACUGAAAAUACCCAGGAAAGAGGACUCCAGAGCUACUGCAGGAAGUGGCACAUGCAAUGAGAUAAAUAUGUUUGAAGUGAGAGGGGGACAUCUUAAUAGGUAAUACUGAUUUAGUAUCAUCUUGUUUUGAAGUCUCAUCUAGCUUUUGUUCUUCUGUCUCCAAUGGUCUAAACAGGUUGUAUCUUAUUGGAUUUUAUUAUGUACGAUAGUAUAAGCAAAAACCUUUUAAAGACAAGGAGAUUAUACAGAAACCAUUGUUCAUUUUCUGUUAGUCGAUUCUAAAUACUCUGUAAUGCUGUCAUUCUCUUAAAUGGUUUUACAUUGUUUUGAUAUACUUAAUGCUAUAGUAUACGAAGUUGUACUCAAGGACUUCAAGGAAAGAGUCAAUAUGGUAACUACUCUUGGGUCGGAAUUAUCUGGUGGUGAAACACUAUUCUGCUUAAAUGGUUAUGUUUUGAUCUGCGCUGUUUUGCUGUUAUGCCCUCUUUUAUCUCAAUCUCCACUCCAUUAUUUACUUUUUUAUUUUUAUCCGUUUAAUUAAAGGGAAAAAAUAGCAGGAUAUAAUAUAGUAACCCACUUUGACUUUCUAUUAUCUCGAUUUGAAGCCCUGUAUUACUCUCACCAUCUUGUUUUUGACUGAUGUUCCCCUAUUCUGUUUUGCUGGAUAGUAUCAGGUUCGAAAGUUUAGGCAUCAGCUGUGAAGAUAAUGAGAUUCAUUAUAACGCCCAUUCUCGUUGACUUUUAUCUACUUUUGAAGACCUACAAUGUCUCCAAUGUUUUGGUUUUGUCGGUUUUGUUCUUUACUGUUUUGUUCAAUUGUAUUAUAACUAAUGAUAUAGGCAAUUCUAUUAGAGAUAGUGGGAGGCAUUAUGGUAACCAUUGUUGAUCACCUUGUAUUAUGUUUUUAUAUUAUCUAUUAUGUCCACCCUUUUGACUUGACCGAUUCUGUUCUGUUAUGUCUCAUUUGGUUUUACUCUCUUCCAAAAAAGCAAUAAGAAUCGUGGGAGCAAUGAAACCCAAAAUGUGUAAUAGUCAUUGUACAAAAGAGAGGAAAAGAAAGUGCUCUAAACUAUAUAACUGCAUGUAUACUUAAGUGUAUAAGAUAGAAAAUGAUAUCACAGAGUUUUAUUGGAUCAUUGAACAGAACUGUUUGCAGUAUCAUUUUUGGAAUGUCCACUCUACAAGCUUUAAUUUGGUGACAUGAACAAUUAUUUCUAAGAUGGCAAUAUGUAAUCCAUUAACUAAUGAUUUCCUACUGUUCAUUUUUUUCUUCUGUAAAUCUGUAUAACUUGUACCCUUUCACUGUUUUUGUGGUUUUUUUUUUCUUUUCUCCUCAAAUUAAAAAAAAAUUUCAUAAAAAAAAAAAAGAGAGGGGGACGGAGAUGGUAAUGCGGACUGUGUCCUUUAUCAAAUGUAAAGCACACACUAUUGUAAUAUACGAAAUAUAAUAGUAUAUAAUUUAUAUACAUUUAAAUUAAAAUCACCUUUUUAAAAUCACA